CGUAGGGUCCAAGCGUUAAUCGGAAUUACUGGGCGUAAAGCGUGCGCAGGCGGUUUUAUAAGCCAGAUGUGAAAUCCCCGGGCUUAACCUGGGAAUGGCAUUUGGGACUGUAAGGCUAGAGUACGGCAGAGGAGACUAGAAUUCCUGGUGUAGCAGUGAAAUGCGUAGAUAUCAGGAGGAAUACCGAUGGCGAAGGCAGGUCUCUGGGUCGAUACUGACGCUCAUGCACGAAAGCGUGGGGAGCAAACAGGAUUAGAUACCCUGGUAGUCCACGCCCUAAACGAUGUCAACUGGUUGUUGGGGAAUUGAUUUCCUUAGUAACGAAGCUAACGCGUGAAGUUGACCGCCUGGGGAGUACGGUCGCAAGAUUA
rnacentral:rRNA from 1 species